AAGUCGUAACAAGGUUUCCGUAGGUGAACCUGCGGAAGGAUCAUUACAAAUGCGAUGCAUCUUCAUCAUUUUAUUGGACCCUGUUGAAUGGUUGACCAAUGGGAGGGGCGGGGGCUAGCCAAUCACAUGAUCGGUGGCCCUUGCCCCUUUCUUUAUGGACACUGCAUAGUAUAUGGACAGAGGGGCGCAGUGUGCGCAUGUGAUACAAUCUAUCCAUGUGCGCACCGUGCCCCGUCAUUUAAAUGAAUCGUAAUGUGACCAACUUUUAACAAUGGAUCUCUUGGCUCUU
rnacentral:misc_RNA from 1 species